rnacentral:rRNA from 1 species
GACGAACGCUGGCGGCGUGCCUAAUACAUGCAAGUCGAGCGGACUUUCAAGAAGCUUGCUUUUUGAAAGUUAGCGGCGGACGGGUGAGUAACACGUGGGCAACCUGCCUGCAAGACGGGGAUAACUCCGGGAAACCGGGGCUAAUACCGGAUAAUAUCUUCCUUCGCAUGAAGGAAGGUUGAAAGGCGGCGCAAGCUGCCGCUUGCAGAUGGGCCCGCGGCGCAUUAGCUAGUUGGUGAGGUAACGGCUCACCAAGGCGACGAUGCGUAGCCGACCUGAGAGGGUGAUCGGCCACACUGGGACUGAGACACGGCCCAGACUCCUACGGGAGGCAGCAGUAGGGAAUCUUCCGCAAUGGACGAAAGUCUGACGGAGCAACGCCGCGUGAGCGAAGAAGGUCUUCGGAUCGUAAAGCUCUGUUGUCAGGGAAGAACAAGUACCGUUCGAACAGGGCGGUACCUUGACGGUACCUGACCAGAAAGCCACGGCUAACUACGUGC